rnacentral:rRNA from 1 species
UCCUACGGGAGGCAGCAGUGGGGAAUAUUGCACAAUGGGCGCAAGCCUGAUGCAGCCAUGCCGCGUGUAUGAAGAAGGCCUUCGGGUUGUAAAGUACUUUCAGUCAGGAGGAAGGGUGUAGUCUUAAUACGGCUAUGCAUUGACGUUACUGACAGAAGAA